AGAUUGCGAGAGGGUAUCGCGCAGGGUUUUCGUUUUUCGAAGCCCUGCGAGGAAAGUCCGGUCCCAUAAGGAGCGGGGUGCCCGUUAAGCCCUACUUUUUCAGUAGGGUGGAGCGGGAGCAUGAGAGUGCUGGAAAGUGCCACAGAAAACAUACCGCGGUAUGUAUUUUCAUACAUACCGCAAGGGUGAAAAGGUGUGGUAAGAGCACACCAGAAACCCGGGCAACCGGGUUUGCUUGGUAAACCCCACCCCGGGCAAGGCCAAGUAGGGGGGAAAGGAGAGAGAAGAUGAAGAAAAAUAAAAAUGUUUUUAAGUUUGUUUUUCUUCUCUCUCCUUGCGGGUUGCUCCUUACCGCUAUUUACCCCCGGGUAGGCCGCUUAGAGUAAUGAUACCCAAAAACACAGAAACCGGCUUAUCUCGCAAUCUCUCC
rnacentral:RNase_P_RNA from 1 species